rfam:Vibrio splendidus LGP32 chromosome 1
CAGUUGCCAUAACUCCGAGCUCUCGCAUGCUAAGUCGCACAGUGGUAUUUGCUGUACCGAUACGCAUCAAGAGCCAGUGACAUGUUGUCACAAGGGCUUAAUUGGAAAUGAUUAUGCCUCCCGUGUUUGGAAAGGUGUUCCGUGGCGCAACAA